GGACGUGGCUCGGCGGUAGAGCGUCUGCUUGGCAUGCAGGAAGUUCCAGGUUCGAGCCUAUCUCCAGGUGGUUCU